rnacentral:rRNA from 1 species
UAGGGAAUCUUCGGCAAUGGACGAAAGUCUGACCGAGCAACGCCGCGUGAGUGAAGAAGGUUUUUCGGAUCGUAAAACUCUGUUGGUAGAGAAGAACGUUGGUGAGAGUGGAAAGCUCAUCAAGUGACAGUAACUACCCAGAAAGGGACGGCUAACUACGUGCCAC